GCGUCGGUGGUUCAGUGGUAGAAUACUCGCCUGCCACGCGGGUGACCCGGGUUCAAUUCCCGGCCGACGCA
rnacentral:tRNA from 1 species